rnacentral:rRNA from 1 species
AGAGUUUGAUCCUGGCUCAGAUUGAACGCUGGCGGCGUGCUUAACACAUGCAAGUCGAACGUGAAAGUCCUUCGGGGCGAGUAAAGUGGCGCACGGGUGAGUAACGCGUGGAUAAUCUACCCUUAAGAUGGGGAUAACGGCUGGAAACGGUCGCUAAUACCGAAUACGCUCCCGAUUUUAUCGUUGGGGGGAAAGAUGGCCUCUGCUUGCAAGCUAUCGCUUAAGGAUGAGUCCGCGUCCCAUUAGCUAGUUGGCGGGGUAACGCCCACCAAGGCGACGAUGGGGUAGCCGGUCUGAGAGGAUGACCGGCCACACUGGAACUGGAACACGGUCCAGACUCCUACGGAGGCA